rnacentral:rRNA from 2 species
CAUGCAAGUCGAACGAACUCUGGUAUUGAUUGGUGCUUGCAUCAUGAUUUACAUUUGAGUGAGUGGCGAACUGGUGAGUAACACGUGGGAAACCUGCCCAGAAGCGGGGGAUAACACCUGGAAACAGAUGCUAAUACCGCAUAACAACUUGGACCGCAUGGUCCGAGCUUGAAAGAUGGCUUCGGCUAUCACUUUUGGAUGGUCCCGCGGCGUAUUAGCUAGAUGGUGGGGUAACGGCUCACCAUGGCAAUGAUACGUAGCCGACCUGAGAGGGUAAUCGGCCACAUUGGGACUGAGACACGGCCCAAACUCCUACGGGAGGCAGCAGUAGGGAAUCUUCCACAAUGGACGAAAGUCUGAUGGAGCAACGCCGCGUGAGUGAAGAAGGGUUUCGGCUCGUAAAACUCUGUUGUUAAAGAAGAACAUAUCUGAGAGUAACUGUUCAGGUAUUGACGGUAUUUAACCAGAAAGCCACGGCUAACUACGUGCCAGCAGCCGCGGUAAUACGUAGGUGGCAAGCGUUGUCCGGAUUUAUUGGGCGUAAAGCGAGCGCAGGCGGUUUUUUAAGUCUGAUGUGAAAGCCUUCGGCUCAACCGAAGAAGUGCAUCGGAAACUGGGAAACUUGAGUGCAGAAGAGGACAGUGGAACUCCAUGUGUAGCGGUGAAAUGCGUAGAUAUAUGGAAGAACACCAGUGGCGAAGGCGGCUGUCUGGUCUGUAACUGACGCUGAGGCUCGAAAGUAUGGGUAGCAAACAGGAUUAGAUACCCUGGUAGUCCAUACCGUAAACGAUGAAUGCUAAGUGUUGGAGGGUUUCCGCCCUUC